CUGUUUCAUUCGGUCUACUAACUAUCGCACUCACACCAUCGAGUCAGUUGCGCGAACGCUUCACGUGUGGCAGGCGUGUUUUAUUUUGUUAUCGUGCAGAAAAUUUUAAAGAAUGUCCGGUUCACAAUCAACCAAACGAAAAACCUGGGAUGAAGAAAAAAUGGCACAAGCUAUAAAAUUCGUCCGGGAAAAGAAAAUGGGGUAUUUGAAAGCGGCACAGCAUUUUCAAGUGCCUAGGAAAAUGAUUUAGAAGAUAAAAAUAUGAAGAGACAAGAAAAAGAAAAUAAACUAG